rnacentral:rRNA from 1 species
CCAGACUCCUACGGGAGGCAGCAGUGAGGAAUAUUGGACAAUGGUCGGAAGACUGAUCCAGCCAUGCCGCGUGCAGGAUGAAGGUCUUAUGGAUUGUAAACUGCUUUUGUAAGGGAAGAAUAAGGGCUACGCGUAGUUUGAUGACGGUACCUUAUGAAUAAGCAUCGGCUAACUCCGUGCCAGCAGCCGCGGUAAUACGGAGGAUGCGAGCGUUAUCCGGAAUCAUUGGGUUUAAAGGGUCUGUAGGCGGGCUGGUAAGUCAGAGGUGAAAGCGCUCAGCUCAACUGAGCAACUGCCUUUGAAACUGUUAGUCUUGAAUGGUUGUGAAGUAGUUGGAAUGUGUAGUGUAGCGGUGAAAUGCUUAGAUAUUACACAGAACACCGAUAGCGAAGGCAUAUUACUAACAAUUAAUUGACGCUGAUGGACGAAAGCGUGGGGAGCGAACAGGAUUAGAUACCCUGGUAGUCCACGCUGUAAACGAUGGAUACUAGCUGUUUGGUUUAAGGAUUGAGUGGCUAAGCGAAAGUGAUAAGUAUCCCACCUGGGGAGUACGUUCGCAAGAUGAAACUCAAAGGAAUUGACGGGGGCCCGCACAAG